CGCCCCUGCCGCUGCCGCUGCCCCUGCCGCGCCCCUGCCGCUGCCGCUGCCCCUGCCCCGGCCCUGCCCCUGCCGCUGCCCCUGCCCCGGCCCUGCCCCUGCCGCUGCCCCUGCCCCGGCCCUGCCCCUGCCGCGCCCCUGCCGCUGCCGCUGCCCCUGCCCCGGCCCUGCCCCUGCCGCUGCCCCUGCCGCUGCCCCUGCCCUGCCCCGCCCCUGCCCCUGCUCCUGCAGAUGUGAGCCCGGGCGCAGGCGCCUUCCGAGCCCAACAAACUCCCCGACCAGUGCGGGGCACCCGUGGGGAGGCGGGGGCCGUGCCACGGAAUUGGGGGCUUCUGUUCCGUGUGCUGUCGUUCCUCUCUCGUCAAAAGAAAGCCACUGGCGCGCCGGGACGCGGGGGCUGUUAAAACACCGACAAGCUCAAAAGCGAAAAUAUCGCGAUACAUUCUGAGAGCCGAGCGAUCUGGCGCAGACUCAAACGGGAGCCGAGACGACGGGCGGAUGGCAUCGCGAGACGUCUGGGAAGCGCGAGACUUGGGGCUCGCCGCGAAGGCGGCGCCGAGGCGGGGCGGGGCGGAGAGGUGGCGGGUCCCUGCCCGCGGCCUCGGGCGGCCGGCUCGGCCCGGCCCGCGUCCCGCCCCGCAGAGUCCUGCGGCAGGUGCCGCCGCCGCGCCCGGAGGGAGGCCCGCGCGGGCCGUCCGUGCUGCCCCGCGUUUUCAGGCCGCGGCGCCGCUGCCGAGCGUUUCGUCCGUGCCGUGCCUCCUGGUCCGCCCGCGCCCCGUCCUGACGGAGCGGGACCGGCCGCCCGGCCCUCCUGCGCGGCCCCCUGUUAGUCCGCUGUGCCCGCCCCGGGGCCCGGCCCCGACGGCGCGGGAGCGCGCUCGCCGCCGAGUCCCUGCGAGUGCGCGCAACGCGAGGGACGCCGCGGGCGGGGGAGGCGGCCUGGUCCCCGACGGGCUCCCCGGGGGCGCUGUCGGGACGAGGGCCCCGGUGUGACCCCAGACGCGGGGGCCGACGGGUGUGCGCGCCGCCCGACGGCCCGACCGCGGGGAGGCGGGCGGACGGCGUCUCCGCGGCCGCUCAGCGCGCGCGGGCGACGCAGAGCCGACCUGCUGCGCGUGGGGCCCCGGUCCUCCCGUCGCCGCUGCGAGCCGAGCGGGCAGGGGCUUCGGGAGACCCGGCUGAGUUCGAGAAAGGCCCGUAGUGGGAGGGAGAGGAGGCGGUUCCCCGGAAGAUUCUAGAAGGAAAAAAGGAGGAUGCUCCCAGCUUUUCAGGUCUGGCUCGCACAUUGGCUUUUUCGGUUUUAAAACAAGAGCCAGAAAACGUGACUACAGAAUUUUUACAAAACCACAGCUUAAGAGGCACUUCCCCUUUCUGUUUUACGCGCUAAUGCCUCUUGGAAUUACCGGGAAGAGACUUAACUUGCUUCACCCUUUCCUUGGUCCUCCCCCUUGGGAGAAAAAUGUGAGGAAGAGUAACAGUUCUCCUUCCUUGACCCGCAUUUUUGGGCGACCCUGAUGCUCAGCUGUGCUCCCGUGGUCUCUGGCUUUUGCGCUGCUGUUUAACAGAGCUCGUGAGCCUUCCCAGAGCCGCGGGGCCAGCGUGUCCGCUGGGUUCCCGGUAUAGACGUGGGGCGAAGGGGUAGCGGUGGCCCGUUUUAGUUUCAGACCCAAACCGUGUUCUGCCAUCUGCAUUUGCCAGCCACAAGGUCGUAUUUUGUUUCUGCCACUGGUGUGUACCCCUAGUUUUCAAAUGGUUAAAAGACUGUUAAAAAAAAAAAAGUAAAUUGACGACUCUCAUACAAAUGAAAA